AUCGCUUCUCGGCCUUUUGGCUAAGAUCAAGUGUAGUAUCUGUUCUUAUCAGUUUAAUAUCUGAUAUGUAUCCUAUCUGGGGACCAUAUAUUAAAUUCAUUUUUGGGACUGUGAGAUGGAAUAGGGGCUUCCACCACCACCACCGACGGCUGGGCCUCCACCACCACCACCGACGGCUGGGCCUCC